rnacentral:tRNA from 1 species
GAAGGUAUAGCUCAAGUGGUAGAGCACAUGCCUGGUAUGCACAGGGUCCUGGGUUCAAUCCCCAGUACUGCCU